rnacentral:lncRNA from 1 species
CAGCUGCCCGCUUGCCCGUAGCUGACUCAGCUCCCUCAUCUUCAUCUCCAUCCUCUUCCUCACCAUCACCUUCUUCCUCCCCACCUUCUUCCUCUUCUUCAUCUACCUCGUUGUCAGCCUCCGGCUCCCCAUUUUCCUCAUUAGCAUUCCCGUGAGCAGGGGCGUCUCUUCCAUUUUCCGCCUCUUCCACAACUUCCUUCUUCUCCUUUAAGUCCUCGGUGGUGAUUUCGGAGCUGGUGUCUACGGCUGCGUCUGACAUGGUGGGGCACGCCGGUGACGCGAUGCAGGGGAUAAAAAAGAAAGCGACAGUUCAGGGACUCUGGCGAUAAAGCUGCCGGAGUCCGCGGCGGCGGAGGCGGCUGCGGCGAGCAAGGAGGCUGACGACGCACAAUGCAAAGACGGCUUUUCAGAGCAGCCAGUGGGGCAGGACAAUGUUUUUCAUCAAAUGUCCUUAGAUUUGGAGGAGGUUUCCCCAGUGUAUCCAGUGGUUGUCUUCCUCUUGAUUAAUAUUAAAGGAGGAGAAAAAGUGUGUAUUGGGGUCAGUGCAGAAAACAAAUCAUCCAAGCACACGAAGUGGAAUUUGCUAAUAGCAUUACUACUCACCCAGUGACUUCGGAGUCACAACCCAGGACACGGUUUUCCGCCCAUUUCUACAGACACAGUGAGAUUCUUCAUUCUUCUCUGUUGGAACAGCCAGGAAAGCGGAAGAGACCUCCAGCUGCACAACGACCUGUCCCCCACACCCAACCACAAGUUUAUGAAGGGAUGCAGAACAGCAUGAAUACUGCAAAAGAUGCUCUGUGCAUCAGAACGUCCAGAAGAGAGAGAUUUAAAUUGCUUUCAGCUAAGCUGUAGACCUCUAGCAGAUGAACGACAUAUUUUCCUGAAGGACUUGCUUCGGUGUGGAAGUGAUUCCGCUGUGAGUUGUGUCUUUUGCGUUGUUGCACUCUUCAUCAUAUUCAUCCGCAGGACCUCCAGCUCUAAAGGGUGUGAAGAGGAUACUGACCCACCAGAAAGAGACCCCACUGCUAGAACGAAUAAGAUGUGCUGAAAGCCGGAGCAUAACUUGGCCAUUCCCAAGAUUUAACAACAAACUAACUACCCAUCAUUAACAGUAAAGGUAUUGAAGCAUGAAGGAGUCUCUUCUCAGUGGCAGAAAGAAAACAAUCAGUAAGAGAUUAUAUAGACCUAAGAGAUGUUACAGACCGAAGAAGAACCUAUGGAGGAAGACAGGAAGAUGAGAGAGAUUUGAAGAUGGUAUGUGGCUGAAUUUGAAGAUAGAGAAAGGAACCGCAAGCAAAGAAUGCAAGAGGUCUCUAGAAGCUGGAAAAGGCAAGGAAAGAGUCUCCCCUCAAGCUCCAGCAGGAAUGCAGUCCUGACACCUUGAGUUUAGCCUAGUGAGACUUCUGACCUCCAGAACUAGAAGAUACAAGUGGUGUUUUAAGGCACUAAAACGAAGAACUAGAAGUAUUGUUUUAAGCCCAUAAAUUUGUGAUAAUCUGUUACAGUAGUAAUAGGCAAUGCAUACACAAGCACACAAAGUAAAAUUUUUCUGUGGUUAUUUUCCAUAUUUUUUCAGUUAUUUUCUGCCUUUUGAAGACAUUAAAGACAUAAAAUGAAUAUGUAUUAGUUUAGGAAUAAAAUUUAAAAUGUAGGAAUGCUAUAAAAGAAGAAAAAAUUUUAACUGGGCUAAAGCAAACCCAGUAUGUCAUCCUAUUACAUCAGCUUCUUCAUCUUUGGAUGAAGAGGUUGGUGACUGUUUCUUCUAAUGUGAGAAUAGCUCCAAAUUGCUAAAUUGUUCAGAAUUUGACAAGAUGAAAGAGGAAAGAAAAAGGAAAUCUUGAAAACAUUUACUGUUUCCUUGUUCAAUGGAUAACACAUGGAUUCCUGAUUGGGAGAUUUUUCCUCUUGCUUUGAUCUGAAGGCAGAAGGAAAUAUAUUCAUUAUUGUUUAAAAGAAUACAUUUUAACCUAACUUUAAAACAUUCAUGAUAUAUUUGUGAACCAUAAUCUUAUUACCCCAACCUAGAAGUUAUUUUGAUCACUAAACUUCCUUUUCAAUAUCUUCAUAUAUGUGUCUUUACAUACUUUAAAUAAAAAAUAUAUAAUUGUAUAACGUUUUAUUAUUUUAUUUAAUAUUUAUCACUUCUAAUAAAUAUAUGUAAAUAUGUAAACAGAAUUUAUGUAUUUUUUCAACAAACAUUUCAAACAUCUACCUUAUGCAAAGCAAUAUAUAGUGAAGGCAGAUAUAAAGUAUAAAUAAGUAUUCUCUAAUAUUGCCUCUAUUUUAAAAAAACUAAAUGUAUUGAGCAUUCUCUAUAUGCCAGGAACUGAACUAAGUAAUUUACUGUUAAUUUACACUAUAAUUCCAUGAAGUAGGUAUUAAUAUUAUCUCCAGGACUAAAGUGAGAUGAUUGACAUUUCUCUUUCCAGAUGAAAUUAGGUAAGUUAUCCAAGGUCAUGUAUCUAGGAAGCAAUAAAUCUAGGAAAUUCAAAUUUAUUGUUAAUUUUUCUAUUUUUUUAUGGAAUUAAGAAAAUGUUAUUUAUAGUUAAUGCUCUUAUACAGAAUUCCCUAUAUUUAACUUUUUCUUCUUAAAAUGACUUAUUUGAGUAACUAUGAGCCUUGGACAUUUUCAAUUUGGGGGCAUUCGUGGGAAUAUUGGCCUCAAAAGUAUCACUCCAAUUUAUAGUCUGCCUGUUAAUAUACCUUUUCCUUGCAAUCACACCAGUCAUGAGCUUUGUAAAAUAAUUAGAAUUGAAUAUUUUUCCAGAAGAUUGUUUAUAAGUUUUAUUUCCUUUUGAAUGAGUUCAUGGUUCUUAGCUUUUGCUUCUUUAUCUACUGAGUUCUAAGAAAACAUUUUCUCUUUGACUAAAAACAUUUUAUCCUAGGCUCUUUCCUCUCCUGCUCAAUAAGUUGCCAUUGGAACUCUGCAAGGAAAAAUUCUAAAAGUUUCAGUGGUGAAUAGAGCAUAAAUGAGAAAUUAAAGCAUUAAUAUUUGUUAGGAAGUAACUUCUCUUCUAGCACAAAAACAAUACAAAAUAUAUUAUUGUUAUCUUAUAAAUGGCAUUACUUAGACAGGAACCCAGCAAUUUUGGAGUCUACACAAUCAGAAGGAGCUACAGUGGGUCUUAUUCUUACCAAAUAGUAGAAGGUUAAUUCUUUUUCAUCCCUGAGAAUCUGUUUAUUCAGAAUGUAGUGUGCUUGAAUCUCCUGGGUUUGUCCACAGGUCAAAGUACCAAUAAUAGGUUUGAGGUGAAUAUAACUCUUGCUUGGGGAAAAAAAAUGCUUUGCAGUAUGAGAUGUUUGCGUAUGAAAUUCAUCAAGCCACCAGUUAUCAGAACAAUUGUUACUCUCUUUGUAUUUGACCUAAUGGAAGAAUAAAUAAGCUGUUUUAUAUAUAAUAUAUAUAUGAUUGCAAAAAUAUAUAAAAAUAUGCAUAUUAUAUAUGUUUGUAUAUAUAUACAUAAAGCAAUAUAAUAAAGCCAUAUAAGAAGGCUGCUUUCUUAAAUA